AUGCAUGGUAGGGAUGAUGGAAACAUGCGCACAGAAUCAAGAGAUUAUCACCUGAACAGAGACAAGUAUCCCAAUGGUGGCGACACUUGUCACCACCGGACCAGCCAACCAAACCAACAUAAUAAUAAUCAAAACGAACAAAUUAUUAUUAACAUGAGGCAGAGUACGGCGGCGAUCUUGAAGAUCCACGGCGGAGAUGAUGAACCUGACGUCGGGGCCGUCCUAAAAAGAAACAUCAUAAAAAAGAUAGAUCUAGAAGAGGUGAACCGGAACCCUAAGAUUUCUACUUGA